rnacentral:tRNA from 1 species
GCUUCCGUAGUUCAAUGGAUAGAACGCGGCCCUCCGGAGGCUGUAAUGGGAGUUCGACUCUCCCCGGGAGCGCAA